rnacentral:rRNA from 1 species
AGGGUUCGAUUCUGGCUCAGGACGAACGCUGGCGGCGUGCUUAACACAUGCAAGUUGAACGGUAUGACAUGGAAGCUUGCUGAAGUGUCAUAUAGUAGCGGACGGGUGAGUAAUGCAUGAGAAGCUGCCAUUGGGAGGGGGACAACAGUUGGAAACGGCUGCUAAUACCCCGUAUGCCGGAAGGUGAAAGGGAGCGAUCCGCCCGAUGAGGUGCUCAUGUCCUAUCAGCUGGUUGGUGGGGUAACGGCCUACCAAGGCGACGACGGGUAGCCGGCCUGAGAGGGUGAACGGCCACACUGGAACUGAGAUACGGUCCAGACUCCUACGGGAGGCAGCAGUGGGGAAUAUUGGGCAAAUGGGGGCAACCCUGACCCAGCGACGCCGCGUGGGGGAAGACGGCCUUCGGGUUGUAAACCUCUUUUGUACGGGAAGAAGGAAGUGACGGUACUGUACGAAUAAGUCCCGGCUAACUACGUGCCAGCAGCCGC